CAUAAGCGGAGGAAAAGAAACCAACAGGGAUUGCCUUAGUAGCGGCGAGUGAAGCGGCAAAAGCUCAAAUUUGAAAUCUGGUACUUUCAGUAUCCGAGUUGUAAUUUGUAGAAGCAACUUUGGUGAUGGUCUUUGCAUAAGUUCCUUGGAAUAGGACGUCAUAGAGGGUGAGAAUCCCGUUUAUGGUGAAGAACCCACACUAUGUAAAGUGCUUUCGAAGAGUCGAGUUGUUUGGGAAUGCAGCUCAAAGUGGGUGGUAAAUUCCAUCUAAAGCUAAAUAUUGGCGAGAGACCGAUAGCGAACAAGUACUGUGAAGGAAAGAUGAAAAGAACUUUGAAAAGAGAGUGAAAAAGUACGUGAAAUUGUUGAAAGGGAAGGGAUCUAAAUCAGACAUGGUAUUUUGUGAUCAACAGUCUUUCGGGACUGUGCACUCGCAUUUUACUAGGCCAGCAUCGGUUAGAAGGGGGUAAAAAAGAUUUUGGAAUGUGGCUCCUCGGAGUGUUAUAGCCAAGGUUAAUUGCCCCAUUUCUGACCGAGGACCGCGUCUU
rnacentral:rRNA from 1 species